UCGCCGAGGAGGCUGACCGAAAGUAUGAG
rnacentral:piRNA from 1 species